CAAUUGAUUAAUUUUUGGUGUUUAUGAGAUUAAAUGAUGAUUUGGUAAUCUUUAUUGUUAAUUAGGAUUAUUUUGUACAGGAAUUUUGGUUAGUUUUGAACCUAGGGCCUAAUUUGAAAUUAUGUAAAAAUUUAGCAUAUUAAUUGUGAAGAAUUCGAAUGGUAAAGGCUGCUUUGGGGUGUUAUUGAAUUUAGUUGGAAGUAUUAGAGGUUAAAAGUGAAAAUUUAAAAUAUUUUGGUGUUAAGGACUAAAUUGAAUAAAGUGUAAAAUUGUAAAAAAUGAAAUUUAAGGGGCAUAUGCAUAGAAAUAAACUUAAUAAUGUAUUUGAAUUGAAUAAAUUGAAUUUAAUUAUUAUAUAGAUCAAGGAUUGAACGGUAC
rnacentral:pre_miRNA from 1 species